UGAUUUUUCUGUUUGUUUGUUUGUUUGUUUUUGUAGAGAAGGGGUCUGGUUCUUGCUCAGGCUAGUGGAUCAAGUAUUUAUCUGGUAUCGAAGUAAGUAACUGAGUUGGUGGUGUGGCCUAAAGAUUAGGCAUGCCCAUCAUGUUAUGAACAGUAUUUUCCAAGGGGGUGGGAUAGACCCAACUGCAGUGGGGAGGAUGAGAGCCAGCAUGGCUGGGCAGUCUGGUGGCAGGAGGUGGCAUUGUGUGGCUGUCCAUCAGUCAUGGAGAAUUCUGGUAGGAGAAGGCAGAGCCCAGACAGGGACUAGCAUUCAGGAACAUCUGAGUGAUGUCUGGAAAUCAAGGUCUGUUGUUCUGCCCUUUGGAAACCUCCCGCUGUAGACAGGCCUUUUUCUCCAGUUCUGUGCGGGGAUGAACUUGCAGAUAACACUUCACCUUUAUGGCAGAGAAACAAGGUUUUGCCUGUGUCUUCUCAGGUGCUGUUUGCUUGGGAAGCUGGCUUCCUAAGGGACAUUCCAGGAGAUCCCCUGCUGCGCUAUCCUGGGAGCCUCCUGGAGGCCUAGGGGACAAACUUUGGCUCUCACAUCUUUGAAAUUCACACAGUUUGCCAGAAUUUAAGCUUUUAUUUCCACUCCAGGUCCAGUGAUCUAGUGUCGCCAUCACAGAUUCUAAAUAUGGCUCCAGAUAUAUAUGAUUACAAUGCAAAACACAUACGAAUAUCAUGCUAGUCAAGGAAAUGUAGGGUUUUUCUGAAGGAUAAAAAGGAGAUAAAUCAUCCACAGGAAGGAGGCUGGGGACCUGGUAAUACCCUGAGGUGCACAGUUUAAUUGAUCAUAAAAGCAUGUUUCCAUCCUCCUCAGCCGUGGGUGUCUGCAGGUAUCCACUCUCUGCGUCCAAUUCUGAAUACUGUUGAUUCCCUUCAUAAACUACCAGGGAAGCCUCCAUUCCAGGGACAGGGUAUUGAUCUACUUUAAUAUAAUUAUUCUGCCUACGAUGAUCUAUACCAGUUCUAAUUUUACUUUAUAUUUGCCGCACCUCCGUGACAGGGGAUAGGUACAUAGGGCUUCUGAGACACAGAUAUAAAGCUAUUGACUAAAACUUAUUCAAUAUCAUCUCUAAAAUCAUUAAUCCAUGACAGAGGCAUCCUUCUUGAAAAGUUCUAGGAUCUUGCAAAACUGGAUCAAGCUGCUCCUCUUUCCUGCAGCUCCCUUCACACUCAGUUAUACAUGUAGCCCUUCACACCUAGCCAGUGGUGUGCUGGUAAAUGUUUAACAACGGGCUCGCUGGGAGAAAAACCAAACCAAACCAACAAAAGUCCGUCAUUUAUAGCUCUUGCCAGUUUCUGUGGUGUAAACCCUCUUGCCACAGCUGAUUUCAAGCUACCAAUGCGGCAUCAUGGUACAUGGAGUUGGGGAGAGAUUCUCACAAUUGGCUCUUGCAGGAAGAUGAGAGCUGGCUCCAGAACGCCACUGCUCCUAGUCCAAAAGCUUCGCUUUUAACCUCUGCUUUCCUGCUUCAAGUGCUGGAAAACUUUUGAAUUUGACGUGAUUCAAACUCGAUUUCCCCAGGUUCAACUCUGGGGAACCUAUCAGCUGGAAUGGAUCUGCUGUUAUUCCGUGGUUGCAUAUGGGCAUGCAAUAUUAUACAGCAGGAACUUAGCUAAAAACAUUUCCUCAGCUACUGUCAACAACAUGAGUCUGGUGUCAGUCCCAAUUAUUUUUCCUAGUCAAUUCCAGUGGUUCUCAAUUAAGGGUGAUUUUGCCACUUGGAAAACAUUUAGCAAUGUCUGGAGACAGUUUGUCACAACUGGGGAGGUGGUGCAGUGGCAUCCAAUGAGUAGACCAGGCUCUAAUGCCAGGCUGAGUCCCCAAGUUGGUUCAUCUGGCCAUCCUGUGCUCACUGUGUCCAUAUCUGAAAGAAAUUUGGAGAAGGCUUGCCAAAGUAUGCCUACUACCUUUAGAGCAGCACCCAACAUUUCAACAGGGUAUAUCCCAGUCCAGUGUAGUCUCAGCACCUUUUUCGUAUCUGAUAAAUUUCCAUAGCUUACUUUGUGCUAUCUACCACUUGGAUAAACUGCAUUAGAAGUUCCUGAGAUUCCUUAGGCCAUUCAGAAAACGUAGAGAUGUAUUGCACUUCUUGGCUAUAAAUGCCUCCUGAUUUCAUUUAGUAAUUUUCCUAACCUGAGCAUUUAAAUGUCUGGUCUUGCUUCUCUGUUCUGCAAAGUCUCCAUAAUCUAGGAGGCAAGUGCCACACUCUCCUGUGGUCUUUCGCUCACUCAAGACUGACAGCAAGGAUCUACACCAUUUAAAUGACAUUUGUGGAUUAAAUAUUAUUUUACUUUGAAAUAAGUGACUAGGUUCUUCUGGGUUUUCAGGAAUCUCUUUUAUUUUCCAAUCUGAAGAUAGUGCCUAGUUUAUAGCAGAACGUCUACACACCAAUCAGAGCAAAGUAGGAGGGUGGGCCAAAGACGUAGGCACAACACCCAAUUAAAUGGUCCCAUCUUUUCCGACCUGUUCCUUAUUGUUAAUACUCAGCAUUCCUAUGAUUUCUGUGUAUUAAGUCUUCUCUCUUAGACAUCCACAACUGUGAGCUGCUGCCGUACACCAGGAGAUUCACUUUAUGGCAGGUGAGCUGGGCCGUGUUUUUGAAUAUUUUGGGGGUUUUUAUCUCAUGGGCAAAAGUAGUUUUGACUUCAUGGAAUCCCUAAAAUGAUCUCUAGGAUCUCUGUGAUCAAUUUGGGAACUACUGGUCCAACUCAAUUACGUCAGUCAUAUUUAUCUUUCCAGAGAUUGGUACAAUUUAGGCCAAUGAGGUGUGAGGAAAGUUUUGCUGGAGGCUCCUGAGUGAAAGAAGUUUCUUCACACCUACAAAGAGCCAUAAGGAGUCAAUCUCCUCUCCCUGCCACAGGUGAACCAACCACUAUACAGCCUUAUUUGCUUCCCAUAGCCAUCUGUGGCCUGGGGGAAACCAGUUUCAAACUGACUUUAACUCCCUGUGUGGCAGAGGAGAGAAGACACCUCAGUCCUUGAGGAUGCCAUGUGAUUCCUGGUUGGAUCUGUAUGGAAGCCCUCUCCACCUCUGAACUGGUACAAAUUUGAGACACUAUCUCAAAUAACUAGAGUGGCUUUAGUUGGAUUUUUCUCUUACAUCCUGCCAAAUGCAUGGACAAUGACAUAUGUUUUUGUAAAACUUGUAUUUUUGUAGAUUUCCAGUAGAUGACAGAGUGAGUUCCCAUAACCCUUCCUGUCUCUUGUGCAAGCAUCGAACAAUUAAGAUAAAAGAUAAAAAAGUUAACAGAACUGAUAAAUGUCUUUAUAGACUAGAAACAGAAAGUGAACUUUCUGUUCACUUAUAGAUAAACAUAAUGGAAAAAUGGAUAAAUCUCCCCACGGCAUAGAAACACCAAUGGGGAAUGGUUCUAAGGCUAAAGGCUUACUGGAUUUUGGGAAUGGAAAAACUCCUUGCCGUCACUUUCUAGUGACGGCAAGGAGUUUAACUCUUGUGAGAAAUAGGAAUAAAUACAGCAGAGCCAGAUACCUCGUGAAAUGGUGGUAGGGUGGUAGAGUUGGGUGUGGCCCUCAAGACAAAUUAAAGGCUGAAAAAUUUUCAAACGCUUUCAGAAGCUGAAACUGCUAGAGAACUUUUACCAAGGGUGGCUGGAUUGAACAGAAAUAACUGCAUCUCCAGGAAACAGACCAAGCCUGGUAAUGGCUUCAAGCCAUUCAUCUUUGAUGUCCUAUUUCAGGAUUUAAGAUUCUGAGAUCUUGGGCCACUGCUGGCUUGUGUUUAGGCACCUACAAUUCCAUGAAAUAGGUAAGGGUGAACAUAGAAGAUUCUUUCAUUAGAAAACUCCCACUCAAUGUGAAUUUUCAUAUAAAACUUUCAAAGCA